AACACUGUUAACCUGCGGUACCUGCGGAAGGAUCAUUACCGAGUUACCAAACUCAAACCCACCGUGAACCUGAAACCGUUGCUUCGGCGGGCGCCUCCCCCGGGAGAGCCCGCCGGAGGUAUACCACACUAGUCUCUACUGCGGCGUGCCGCAUCUUGUCCUCUGAAUAAAGCUUCAAAAAAAAAGUCAAAACUUUUAACAAUGGAUCU
rnacentral:misc_RNA from 1 species